UUUGGCUGGAGAUUGCAGAGAAACCAGCUGAUGGGAAGAAAGGGGCCGAGCGCAUCACGGGCUUCCUGGGGCUGCAGCCCCCGGCGCAGUUCCUCAUUCCGCUCGCACUCGGGCCUCAGACUGGGUGGAGCUCAGCACUGGGGUGUUGGUGGCAGCACUGAGGGGCCCCCCACUGCCCUGUCAUGGCAUCUGCUCUGACCGUCCUCCUCCUCGGCUGCUGGCUGGCCGGGUGGAGUGGGGUGUCCGGACAGGGGUCCUACCCCAAACCCUCCAUCUCCGUCAGCCCCAGUGGGGUGAUCCCCGUGGGGGGGAAACGUCACCAUCCGGUGUCGGAAUCAGCUCCUGGGCAUGAGGAUCCAACUCUACAAGGAUGGAGCUGGGAAGGAGCUGACUUACACAGACCCUGCCGGCUCUGAGGCUGAAUUUCCCAUCACCAGCGCCAGACGGGAAGACGGGGGCAGCUACACCUGUCGUUAUAGCCACAGAACAGGACCACCUGCCUACUCGGAGCCCAGUGACCCUGUGCAGAUCAUUGUAGCAGAUCCCAACUUACCCAGACCCUCC